rnacentral:lncRNA from 1 species
CACAAGAACACUACAAAACACACAAACUUUUGUGUUCAUGACAAAACUCCAUGUAACAAUUGAUUGUUAAAAGGACCCAUGACUAAUAAGUUGCCAACCGUACCGGCUACCACCACCUUUGGCCCAGUGGAAUUGUGACCAAACAAUCAAAACAUAGAAAUUUCAUAGCAUGGGUUUGACUUGACUCAAGUUCACCGUAACAUAUACUCCAUAAAGACUUUCAGUCAAUCUUGAUCAAUAUACAUCUUUUAUUACACGAGGCGAAAAUUGAUAAACAAAUGCUCUUAAUCAAGUUGGUUUCAAAUUCUGAAACAUGGUGUCCCAUUUAAUCUCUUCAACACCCCCAUCGAACCAGCGACCGCUGCCUUCAUCUAAACUUGCAUGAUGGUCACCAUAACCGCACUCUUUCUUCUCUUGAUCACAUCGAUAAACCAAUGGGCUCGAAAAGGACUUAUGAUAGCCAUUAGUGAGUAAAAGAGUAGGUGUAGAUUGUUCAAAGGUCACAAAUGUCUUGUUUCUCCUUAACAUAUUACCUUUCCAUCUUGAACCAUAAGUGUCAUGAACCAGGACCAAAGCUGAAUCAUCGCGAUGCACCCAUGUCCGGAUGUGACUAGCCAAGGUCCUCUUGGUUUUCUUGAUGGCGAUCACGAGCUUUGAGAUGGGGUGUGAACCGUUUGGCCGUUUUUGUUUCCUAGCAAGCUUGAGUAUCUCUAACCUGUGUUUGGCUAUAGAGAUCCCCAUGCUUUGAAGUAACUCAUGGUUGAAGUAUGUUAUAUCAUCUUCUUCGAGCUCGUUUCGAGAGAACGCCAUCCCAUAUUUGUAAAUAAGUGAGGAUUCAAGCCUGGUUUUUGAAAGCAAAGAAAACCAAUCAAUGGGUUGGAUGGAAGUUAACUAUAUAAAGAUUCAAGUGAAGGGUAGUGAGGAAAGGGCAAAUAUGACAUUUUCCUAG